rnacentral:rRNA from 1 species
GAUGAACGCUGGCGGCGUGCCUAAUACAUGCAAGUCGAGCGAACAGACGAGGAGCUUGCUCCUCUGACGUUAGCGGCGGACGGGUGAGUAACACGUGGAUAACCUACCUAUAAGACUGGGAUAACUUCGGGAAACCGGAGCUAAUACCGGAUAAUAUAUUGAACCGCAUGGUUCAAUAGUGAAAGACGGUUUUGCUGUCACUUAUAGAUGGAUCCGCGCCGCAUUAGCUAGUUGGUAAGGUAACGGCUUACCAAGGCAACGAUGCGUAGCCGACCUGAGAGGGGGAUGGGCCACAGUGGACCUGAGACCGGGUCCAGACCCCUACGGGAGGAGGCAGUGGGGAAUUUUCCGCAAGGGGGAAAAGCCUAACGGAGAAACGCGGGGGGAGGAAUAAAGGUCUUCAGAUCUUAAAACCUUGUUAUUAGGGAAAAAAAAAGGGGUAAGUAAAAAUGCCCGUCUGGAGGGGACCUAAUCAGAAAGCCACGGCAAACUACGU